UGGGGGAUAUUGCACAAUGGGCGAAAGCCUGAUGCAGCGACGCCGCGUGGGGGAUGAAGGCCUUCGGGUUGUAAACUUCUUUUGCUCUGAACAAGGCAUGCCUUUGGGGUGUGUUGAGUGUAGGGGUUGAUUAGCGCCGGCUAACUACGUGCCAGCAGCCGCGGUAAUACGUAGGGCGCGAGCGUUGUCCGGAAUUAUUGGGCGUAAAGGGCUUGUAGGUGGCUGGUUGCGUCUGUCGUGAAAGCUCAUGGCUUAACUGUGGGUUUGCGGUGGGUACGGGCUGGCUUGAGUGCAGUAGGGGGGGCUGGAAUUCCUGGUGUAGAGGUGGAAUGCGCAGAUAUCAGGAGGAAUACCGGGGGCGAAGGCGGGUCUCUGGGCUGUUACUGACGCUGAGGGGCGGAAGCGUGGGGAGCGAACAGG
rnacentral:rRNA from 1 species